UAGAGUUUGAUCCUGGCUCAGAUUGAACGCUGGCGGAAUGCUUUACACAUGCAAGUCGAACGGCAGCACGGGAGCUUGCUCCUGGUGGCGAGUGGCGAACGGGUGAGUAACGCGUUGGUGACCUGCCCCGAAGUGGGGGAUAACGGCUCGAAAGGGCUGCUAAUACCCCAUGUGGUCGUAGAGGUUAGAGGCUCUACGUCUAAAGGAGUAAUUCGCUUCUGGAUGGGNCU
rnacentral:rRNA from 1 species